rnacentral:lncRNA from 1 species
UUUUCUUUUGUUUCUAAUCAUUCUAUUUUAUAACAUUCAGAUGAUGGCCUUCAUUCAUGUUUCAUCGCGAGCACUAUGACGAAGAAGUAAGAAGAAAGCAAGGCAUGCAUGAUCUAGGCAUGCAUGCACAUUCUUCUAAUGCUGAAUUUUCUUGGAAUUUGGAUGUAGUGUUGAUUUUGCUGAGAAUUUGAUGUAUAUUUGCAUGCAAACAAAAUUC